GAUGAACGCUGGCGGCGUGCCUAACACAUGCAAGUCGAGCGAUUCUCUUCGGAGAAGAGCGGCGGACGGGUGAGUAACGCGUGGGUAACCUGCCCUGUACACACGGAUAACAUACCGAAAGGUAUGCUAAUACGAGAUAAUAUGCUUUUAUCGCAUGGUAGAAGUAUCAAAGCUCCGGCGGUACAGGAUGGACCCGCGUCUGAUUAGCUAGUUGGUGAGGUAACGGCUCACCAAGGCGACGAUCAGUAGCCGACCUGAGAGGGUGAUCGGCCACAUUGGAACUGAGACACGGUCCAAACUCCUACGGGAGGCAGCAGUGGGGAAUAUUGCACAAUGGGCGAAAGCCUGAUGCAGCAACGCCGCGUGAGCGAUGAAGGCCUUCGGGUCGUAAAGCUCUGUCCUCAAGGAAGAUAAUGACGGUACUUGAGGAGGAAGCCCCGGCUAACUAC
rnacentral:rRNA from 1 species